ensembl:snoRNA
CCCUCCUACAAAGGCAUGUCUUCUGUUCGCUAUCUUUGGUCGCACAAAAAAUUGGAGGCAAAGAAAUGAGGAUUUGGAGACAUCUGGGGCCAGCUUGCUCCCCGCAGGCUCAAGAUUAACUGUCCCACAUAA